AAUAGAAAACCACUGCAUGUGUCGACAGCAUUUAAUGGAUCAGAAAUGUAAAAAGCAAAUACUUUAUGGUAAUACAGUCCUCUAGUGGUUUACAGGUGGCAGUAAAGACAUUCUGUAAUCUGUGUCCUACAGAAAACUAUUAGACCAGCACUGGCUGUCAGAGGACUUCAUAAGUCUGCACUGGAUGUUUUGAAGCAGCCGGCCCCAGACAGCACAGUUACAGCCAGCUUUGGGAAGUUCAUCAGCGAGAUAAAGCCCCAGCACUUGCCCUCUGUUGUGCUCCACCGCAGUAAAAGGAUGGUGCUGGACAGCAUUGGAGUGGGUCUGAUUGGCAGCACGACAGACGUGUUUGAACUUGCCCUGCAGCACUGCCAGCACAUGUAUGCUCCUGAUGACAUCAGCUCGGUGUACGGACGCAGGGGCAUCCGGCUCUCCCCGACACUGGCAGCCUUUGUCAAUGGAGUGGCAGUGAGUAUAAAGAGGUGGAACAGGUGUCGCCUUUGUCCACAG